CCAUGGAUUAGCUAGCAAUUUAGCAUACAUAACACCAAAUAUGAUCAUGAUUAGCCAUUCCAAUGGCUAAUCAUUACCAAGCAUUUCCAUACCACUCAAUAUCCAUAUCAUAAGACCAUAUAUACAAAAUGAUUAUAAUGCUAUACAUGCCAUACUCAAAAUAUACAAGCCAUUAUGCCAAGAUGGUAUACGGAUAGUGUGAGUGGGCCUCCGACCGUUCCCGAUUUCUGAGCUGGCUUGUCAAAAAAUCGAGCUUGGAAGCUUGAAAAACCCUAGCCAUGGUUUCUCCUUGCUAUAUUCGGCCAU
rnacentral:lncRNA from 1 species